AACAAAAAUUUUAGCGCCAGUUUUUUCUAAGGGUAAAGAAAUAGGGAUAUAGGAAUCAGAAAUUAGAUAUUUCGGAAGCCCUGACAGGCGGAAGGAGUUCUUGUUUCAUCAAGAUGUUCGUUAAUCUUCCAUCAUGUUACGUUCUCCCCACAUACGCGGGCGUCUCAGUUAUCUGGGCAGCCACUCAAUAACAAGAUAUCGGAGAAAAGCUGGAGAGUCUUGAGUGUUUGGGCCUUUGUGUACGCAGUGUUGGUGUCGACAAAAUUCCAAGGAGAGUUACUCUGUAGUUUAGCUGUGGUGUAUUACAAGAGCAAACGUUCAUACACAUCCAAGUGUGUCAGAAAAGGUUGAAACAAUGAAAACGUCGCUUAUUCUCCUGGCAGCACUGAGCGUGGCACUUCUUCUGCACGCCUCACGCCACACCCACGCUUCAGAGCUCUCUCAGCUACUGGACAUGGAGAUACGAGACCUUAAGGAUGAGAUUGAAAAGAGAGGGAGAAAACGAAAACCCUGCGGGUUUACUUGGUUUUGUGGACGAAGACGAAGCAGGCGUAGUCAUGGAAAAAGGAGUGGAAUAUCCCACCAUUCAAUAUCGUUCAACUCCUUCGGUUCCGAUGAUAUGGACGACAUUUUGAAUAAGAAUGUACUCAAUGAUGAUUAAUUGUUUAGAUAUAGUAUAGCAAUUUCAGUUGUGUUUUAAAAUUCAUUGACAUAGAAAGCGAAGUGCCUCUGGCUCGAGAUUGUAAUUGUUUAAGACUCAUUGUGUUGCAUUACACCAUUAGUUUUACUUUGGCGAGAUGAUUUUUGAUGUAGUGGUUGAACUAAAAAAGGAACGAAGCUACGACAUAAAACCACUAGGAAUGAAAAAAAUACUAUGAUUGAUGAAAUAAUGAUAAUGGAGGAAAUUUCUACAAUCAACCUUGUUAAUCUAUGAUCUCCAUCUCUUAGUAUAAGAGGAUAUAUAUGAAAAGUAUUCAAAAACAUGACACCCACUCUUUAGUGUAACCUGUUUAACCCGAAUAUUGUAAGUGAUUUGGUUUGGGGAAAUCUUGUAACUCUUAAAUUGUAACAAUAAAUGCAUCUAAUGGAAGAUAACUUCUCUUGCUGAUUACUCUGUUCAUGGCAUUCAGGUUUUUUUUUAAUAUUUAGUACAUGCAUUCCAUUUGGUCGUGCAUCUGCGCAUGCUCUCCUCACCUAGACCGUGACAUGCAUGAUGGUGUCUGUCUUCAGUUCCUUGCUCGCAGUUGGAGGAUUGGGCCAGAGAUAAGUUGGCUUCAUCUAUCCCUUUUGUUUCUCUUUUCUGCAGCCCGUGAUGUUAAACGCAUCAAAAUUACGCUCUCUUUCUACAGUUCGUCUCCACGUUUCUCUUGGUAGUCUUCGAUUUCUUUUGACGUUGCCUGUACCACGUGACUAACUUGAAACUUUCCACUCGUCAUAUACCAUGGCUAAGGUGAAUUAUUGUCCAAACCAGUGAAGUAUUUCUCCCAAUGAUCACGUAAUGAAUUUAUCAAUAGAAAUUUG